GUGGGACGCUGGGGUGUUGGGGAGGCAGGGCUCGUGUUCUGGGAAGAGGGACAUGGAGUGGACACAGACAUGGAAAAUAGGAUGACCAGAAAGAGUGAAAGCAAAAGAUACAAAGGAGCCAUCUUCUUAGACACAGGGAGCUCACCUGCCUUUUCUGCCCCAGACCUCUCUGCCAGGCCUCGGCCCUGCACCCAAUCCUCCCAUCCCUAGUUGAGCACCUACUGUGUAUAAGGCCCCAUUCAAGGCUCUGGGGAGACAGCAGUGAGUAAAACAGAUGAAAAACCCUGCCUUCCUGGAGGCACCGUUCUCUUAGGAGGAAACAGACAAUAAACAAGAUAUGUAAAUAAAUCAGGCAUGGUGGUGCACACCUGUAAUUCCAGCACUCUGGGAGGCUGAGGCAAGAGCGUUGAAAGCUCAAGCCUAGCCUGGACAAUUUAAUGAUGUAGUGAGACCCUGUCUCAAAAUAAAAAAAAGGGAAGUGGGGCACUGAGAAUGUAUGUAGCUCAGUGUGGAGGCUUUGGGUUUAAUCCCCAGUCUUAAAAAAAAAAGACGCAAGUAAAUUAUAUAGUAGUUAGGAUAAGAGCUUUGGAGAAAAAUUAAAAUUGAGUCAGGCAGGGAAGGGUGGUGUGGGUGGAGGAGUACACUUAAACAGAAUGAUGAGGGAGGUCUCACUGAGAAGGUGACAUCUGAGCUAGGACCUGAAGGAGGGAGAGGAAGAAUCGUUGGGCAUCUGGGGCAGGAGCAGUCUAGGCAGAGAGAAUAGCAAGUGCGAAGGCCUUGGGUGAGAGAGGUCAGGCUGGGGCAGGCACCACCUGGCAUGUGUGAGGAAGACCAAGGAGGUCACUGUGGCUGCAGUGGAGGGCAUGUGCAUUGGGGGUUUGGCGGGACAUAGUGUCUGUGGCUUUGGGGAGGACUAUGGUGUAGGCUUUGGCCAGGAUGGGAGCCAUAGAAGGCUUCUGAGCAGAGGAGGGAGAGGAUUUGAUUCAAGGAUUCACAAGGACCCCCUGGCUGCAUACAGGGAAGAGAUGGAGGAGUGGUGUUUGCUGGGACACUGGUUAAGGAGUUGCUGCCAAGUCAAGGCCGGAGAGGAUGGUGGUCAGCCUGGGGUGGGCCGGAGGGGUUGAGCAGUGGAUAGAUUGUUUCCUGUCUGGGCUCUGUCUCCAGUCUUGUCCCAUCUUGAUGCAGCCAAAGGGUCUAAAACAAAAAUCUGCUCCUGUCUCUCUCCUCUCUCUCCCCUGGGAGCCAACCGAAGCUGCUCAGCCUGAUGUUAGACUCUCAGCAGGGAAUGGCUCCUGCAGCCACCUCAGCCUCACCUCGAACCUCUCCCCACCCCUUAGGCAGCUCCUGCCACACUGAAGUUCUGUCUGUUUCUCUGUGGUGUUUGCUCACGCUAUGCCUUCUGCCUAGAACACCGUUCCUUCUCUCUUUGCCCUGGUAACCCCCUUCCUCCUCCAGGAAGCCUUGUUUGUUCUUCCAUGGUUCAUCGAAACACCUUUCCAGGCCUACAAGACCGUGCGGGAUUUGGUCCCCUCCCCACCUCUGUGGGGGAGUGUGUGUCGCCAAUUCUCCCCUUGGUACCUCCCGCCCAGCCCCCUCCCAGCCAUCUACAGCUCCAGGGAGGCUGUGGGGAAAAGUGGUUAGACUUUGGAUCUAUUUUGAAGCAUGAUUUCCUGAUGGAAUUUGAAGGGAGGCGGGGUCAAGGAUAAGUUCUCUGGACAGUGCUAUCUUGCCAGGCAUUUGCAUGUUCUGUGCCUGGGCCUUAGUUUCCUCAUCUGUAAAAUGGGGCCAAAAGUUGUAUAGUACCUGCCUCUUAUGGGUGUUGAGAAUGUUAAAUAAAUCAAUUCAUGUAAAGUUCUUAGAUUGGGCCCAACACUUAGUAAAGACUCAAUAAGCAGGGGUGUUUAUUAUAUUCCUUCAUAUCCAUCUUAAAGACUCUGGGCUGUGCAGACAUGGAAGAUGUGUACUCUUAGCAUAGAGUCUCAGUGGGUCAAAUGUAGUAAGACAGUGCUUUUAUGAACUGUUGACUGUACUUUUAUAUGUUGAUCUAAUACAGUCAUACUCAUGUAUAAAACUCAAACAUGUUUUUCUAGUCUCAGUAGUCUUUCUUUUUUUAAAUAAUUGAGAUUAAUACAUUCACAACGGGACCAUAAUUUGUUUGUCUCGCUGUCAGGUAGCUCUUAUUUGUUGUUGUUGAUUUUUUUUUUUGGUACUGAGUACUGAACUCGGGUCCUUGCGCUUGAGAGGCAGGCGGCGAAACCACUGAGCUAAAUCCCCAGCCCCUGGGCAGCUCUUAUUUGAAUGUGUUAUAGUCCCACCAUCUUGUACCACUGGUGGUGCAUGCAUGACUGUCCCAUAGGGUGACAUGGGAUGGUCCCAUUGGGUGGUACAGUCAUACAUGUACCACCAGUGGUUUAUGCCAGUGGGAACAUGUUAAAUUCACAGAACAUAAAUUUAGUCAUGUCAAAGCUCAGUGGCAUUUAGUGCACUCACAAGGUUGUACAACUACCUCCCCUGUCUAGAUCCAGAAUAUUUUCAUUACCUUAAAAAAAAACUGCACCAAGGUCCUUAGUUUGAUCCCCGGUACUGCAAAAGAAAGAAAAAAAACUGCAUAACCAGUAAGCAGUCAUUCUCCAUUUCCCCAGCCCCUGGCAACUACUACUCUGCUUUCGGUCUCUGUUGACCAAUUUUUUCUUGUUUUUAGUUAAUUGAGACAGGGUCUUCUUAUGUAGUCCAGACCAGCCUGAGCUUGCUUUGUAGCCCAGGGUGACCUGGGCUUUGCUUUGUAGCCCAUGAUCCUCCUGCCUCAGCCUCCAGAGUGUCCGGAUUGCAGGCAUGUGCCACUGUGCCCAGCUGACCAAUAUUCUUAUUACAUAUGAUGCAGUCUGACAUUUUCUAUUUUAUUCUAUUGGAAUAAAAAAUUAUCUAAGGCCCACGAAAUCAUUCCCCCUUCCCAUGCAAUGUUGCACAGUAGAAUCAUCUGGAGAGCUUUAAAAGGUACUGCUACCCAAACUUACUCCAGAGAUUUUGAAGUAAUUUUAAGAUUUUCACAAGCUUCUAGAUAAUGCUAUAUGCAAUCAAAGCAAAAAGCACUAAUCUAUUGUGUCUCUCCAGCUUGGAAAACACUAGAAGGAGGCCUAAAGCCAGAGUGAUCAGGGACAUAGGACACAGAGAUAAAAAAGUAGGGAUAUGAUAUUUAGACAAUGAAAUUGUCCUUUUACAGACUGCUCUCUGAGCUCAUCUGAUCUCCAGGACCAGCCCUGGCCUUCUGGCUGGGGCCCAGACCCAGGCCCCAGGAGGCUGUGCCCCAACCUGCCCCAGCCCCAGAGAAGUGUCCCGCCACCUGUCCUCCUUCCCUGGCCAGGUGGGGCCUGGCUUUGGGGCAAGACUGAGUCACAGGGAAGGGGGAACCCAUACCUGCAGCUGCUCCUUCUGUCUUGGCUAACCUCCGUCCCCCCAGUCAUACCCCAAGAGUUCUCAAAGCCUGAGACCAGGACCAUUUGGCCCCACCUUGCCCUGCUGUUUCGAGUACGUGUUAUUUAUUACCUGGAGGCCUGUCCCAUCCUAACUCCUCCCCCAUAAAGCAUUGUUUACACCUGUG
rnacentral:lncRNA from 1 species